CCCUUGGACGAGGAUGAACUCGUCUCCUUCAUCAUCGCUGGGCUGGAUCUUGACUACAACUCGUUAGUCUCGGCUCUCGACGCCCGCACGGAUCCUGUCACCGUCGACUUCCUCUAUGCGCAGGUCUGUAAUUUUGACU
rfam:Triticum aestivum genome assembly, contig: Triticum_aestivum_CS42_TGACv1_scaffold_249203_3DL